rnacentral:rRNA from 1 species
CCGAUCUGGCUUCUGGUGGAUGCCUUGGCAUCAAGAGACGAAGAAGGACGUGUAAGACUGCGAUAAGUUACGGGGAGUUGUCAAAUAAGCUUUGAUCCGUAAAUUUCCGAAUGGGGAAACCUUAUUUAAUAAAAUUAAAUAAUCAUUAUCUGAAUAUAUAGGAUAAUGAAGUUAACGUCGUGAACUGAAACAUCUAAGUAGCGAUAGGAAUAUAAAACGAAAGUGAUUUCCUGAGUAGUGGUGAGCGAAACGGAAAAAGUCUAAACAUAUAUUAUGUGAUAGCUUACAGGCGUUGUAAUAUAUGGGUUGUGAGAGUUGUUGGUGUUUUCUGUAAAAAACAGCUAUUAUAUGUUUUUAUUAUAUGAAUAUUUUGGAAAGAAUAACCAUAGAGAGUGAUAGUCUCGUAAUUUAAAAUAAAAGCAUAGUAGUAAUGAUUUCUCAAGUACCGCAAAGCACGUGAAAUUUUGCGGGAAUCUGGCCGGACCAUCGGCUAAGACUAAAUACUUCUUGAUGACCGAUAGUGAACAAGUACCGUGAGGGAAAGGUGAAAAGAACCCCGGGAGGGGAGUGAAAUAGAUCUGAAAUCAGUUGCCUAUAAGCGGUGGAAGCACAACAUACGUAUGUGUGACCACGUACCUUUUGCAUAAUGAGCCAACGAGUUAUUGUAUAUUGCAAGGUUAAGUUUAGUAAGAACGGAGCCGUAGCGAAAGCGAGUCUGAAUAGGGCGAAAUUUAGUAGUAUGCAAUAGACCCGAAACCUAGCGAGCUACUCAUGUCCAGGAUGAAGUUUCAGUUGUAUGAAAUGGAGGUCCGAACCCGUAUUGGUUGAAAACAGUUGGGAUGAGGUGUGGGUAGGAGUGAAAGGCUAAUCAAGCUGGGAAAUAGCUGGUUCUUUCCGAAAUAUAUUUAGGUAUAGCCUUGAUGAAUUAUAUGAUGGGGUAAAGCACAGUUUAACUUUUUGGGGUCGCAAGAUUACCAAGGUUUUACUAACUCUGAAUACGUCAUAUUUUGAAAUCAGGAGACAGGCUGCGAGAGAUAAGUUCCGUAGCCGAAAGGGAAACAGCCCAGACCAUCAAUUAAGGCCCCCAAAUGUCUAUUAAGUGAAAAAAGAUGUGAAAAUACACAGACAGUCAGGAGGUUGGCUUAGAGGCAGCCAUCCUUUAAAGAAAGCGUAAUAGCUCACUGACUAAGUGUUUUUGCGCUGAAGUAUAAACGGGACUAAAUAGACCACCGAAGCUAUGGUCAGUAUACAAUUUGUAUACUGAGGUAGGAAAGCGUUCUUAAAGAGAUACUAGUUCAACCGUGAGGGUGGAUGAUGGCUUUAAGAAGUGAGAAUGUUGGUAUAAGUAACGAAAAGAUAGGUGAAAUUCCUGUCCGCCGAAAAUCUAAGGGUUCCUUCAGAAAGGGUUAUCCGCUGAGGGUUAGUCGGUUCCUAAGUCGAGGCCAAUUGGAGUAGAUGAUGGAUAACAGGUUGAUAUUCCUGUACUAUAAUGUUGCGCUAUUAGAGAUGGAGUGACGCAGUAGGAUAUACUAUAAAAUUAUAUGGUUGAUAAUCUAAGCAUCAAGAGAGGUAUUACUAGAAAAUCUGUAGUGCUGUUGAAUUGAGAUGUGAUGGGCUUAUAAAAGUUUACUUUUAUGAGUAUAGUAGAGUUCACACUGACUAGAAAAGCUUCUAUCGAGUAACAUGAUAACCGUACCGUAAACUGACACAGGUAGAUGAAUUGAAAAUAUUAAGGCGUUGAGAUAAUUAUCGUUAAGGAACUCGGCAAAUUAACCUCGUAACUUCGGGAGAAGAGGUGCCUGUUAUGUGAAUUAAAUUGCGUAUACAGGUUUCAAUAAAGAGGCCCAAUCGACUGUUUAGCAAAAACACAGAGCUCUGCAAACUCGUAAGAGGAAGUAUAGAGUCUGACGCCUGCCCAGUGCUGGAAGGUUAACAGGAGAUGUUAGUCGUAAGACGAAGCAUUGAAUCGAAGCCCCAGUAAACGGCGGCCGUAACUAUAACGGUCCUAAGGUAGCGAAGUCCCUUGUCGGGUAAAUUCCGACCUGCAUGAAUGGCGUAACGAGUUGGGCGCUGUCUUAACGAUACACUCAGUGAAUUUGUAGUAGGGGUGAAAAUGCCCCUUACCUGCAACUGGACGGAAAGACCCCGUGCACCUUUACUGUAGUUUUACAUUGAUAUUUGGAAAAAUAUGUGUAGCAUAGGCGGGAGACUAUGAAGUUAGAGCGCUAGUUCUAAUGGAGUCAACGUUGAAAUACCGCUCUUAUUUUUUUGAAUGUCUAACUUUGAUCCAUAUAUCUGGAUGAAGGACAUUGUAUGAUGGGCAGUUUGACUGGGGUGGUCGCCUCCUAAAGAGUAACGGAGGCAUUCAAAGGUUCCCUCAAAACGAAUAGAAAUCGUUGGUUGAGUGUAAACGCACAAGGGAGCUUAACUGCGAGACAAACAGGUCGAGCAGAUGCGAAAGCAGGAGUUAGUGAUCCAGCGGUUCCGAAUGGAAGGGCCGUUGCUAAAUGGAUAAAAGGUACGCCGGGGAUAACAGGCG